GUAGGUGAACCUGCGGAAGGAUCAUUAUAAGACGAGUGAGUGGAGUGAGUGAAGUGAGGCUAUGCCGAACGAUGCGAACGAAGCGAGCGAAGUGGAGCAGCGUGGUGAUGUACUACUUGUACAUUGUCGCCGGACCUGCCUUCGCAAGGAGGUAGACAUGAUACAAAUCUUGAAUUAUACUACAUAAUUUUAACGACUUUUAACAACGGAUCUCUGGGCUCCC
rnacentral:misc_RNA from 1 species